GGUCUUUUGUAUUUAUUAUAAGAUCGGGCCUGCCCAUUGAUUUAGAUAUUAAAAGGCUGCGGUAUUUUAACUGUACGAAGGUAGCAUAAUCAUUUGUCUUUUAAUUGGAGGCUAGAAUGAAUGGUUUGAUGAAAUACAAUCUUUCUUAUUUUAAUUUAAUUUAAUUUAAUUUUUUAGUUAAAAAGCUGAAAUUUUUUUAUAGGACGAGAAGACCCUAUAGAAGUUAACUUUUUUUAUAUAAUUAUAUAUUUUUUUGUUUUUUUAUUUUUAUUUAAUAAAAAGUUUUGUUGGGGUGACAUUAAAAUUUAUUUAACUUUUAUUAAUUAUUUCAUAGAUAAAUGUUUUUAUGAUCCAGAAUUUUUGAUUAUAAGAUUAACUUACCUUAGGGAUAACAGCGUAAUUUUUUCGGAGAGUUCAUAUCGAUGAAAAAGUUUGCGA
rnacentral:rRNA from 1 species